CUGGCCAAGCUUCAGUAGCAGAAGAAUAGACCUGAGCAUUAUCUGUGGUGCCAUCAAAAAUACAGAGCUAUUCUGAAGAAAGAAAAGCGGAAAAAAAAGCGUCAGGCACUUGCCAAACUAAGAGACUCAGAAGCUACAGAAAAAGAUGAAUCGGUGUCUGAGGAGGAAGAGGAGGAACUGGAAGAAGAGGAGGAAGAGGAAGAGGAAGAAAAAAAACUUGAGGCAGAAAGACAAAAACUACAUGAGCAGUGGUUGCUGAGAGAAGAAAAGGCCCAAGAAGAAUUCAAGCUUAAGAAAGAAAAAGAAGAGGCUGCAAGAAAACGUCAAGAAGAAGAAGAGGUGAUGUAUAAACUGAGUAAUAGAGUUGUGUCUGGCAGUAAGGUAGACUUAAGUGUAAUAUCUUCUACUGUUCUGUAGUGGGCCCAGUUUUCUUGAUGUUGGUAUGUUUGAAAGCAUAAGCUCUUCUUUCUUCCAUUCUAAAAGAGCAAAAUUAAAAAGGAAGAAAAAAAGACUUGUUAAAAGGGUUUUUGUCCAGAGAUUUAGUUGCUUAUGACUGGAUGAAAACUUAACGGUCAGGGAGUUGUAAUACAACAUGAUAGUUUUGCAUUUGACUGAUUAUAAAGCAUUUGUUUCCUUAAAUAAUUUUUAAAAUUUUUUUUAAUCAUAAAGAGGAAGAUCAAAGAAGAAUGGGAAGAGCAGCAAAGAAAAGAGAGAGAAGUGGCACAGCAGAAGCAACAGGAGAAGAGAGAGAGAGAGGUGAUUCCUGGCAGUGGGAGGAUAAACAUGUUACAUAUCCUCUUACAUUAUCGGAUGCAACAGUUGAAGAGGGAUUUUAUUCUAAUUAGCAAAUGUAUAAAUGUGUUAGUUACUACUUCUCUCCAUUCUGUCUAAAUUUGUGAAACUGUUAUUCGCUGUUAAAGAGGAUCUGGUGAGUCCAGAUACCUAGAAGGGUAACUAGUUUUAAUGCAUCUGGUUGUUCAUAGUAUGUAGUUUUUUACAUCAGUUAAAUACAAAGGCACCGCUGGGAGUGCAGGUUCUGAUAUGUGCACUUUUUGCAUCAUGCAUUAAAGAUAGUCCUUAUUUAAUGUCCCAGUUGAACACAGUCAGUGUUGAAGAAAAU
rnacentral:lncRNA from 1 species